CACUGGAUUUAGGAAUUCAAUGUGGUUUAAACUGAGGUUCUUCAUUUAACGUGUCUAAUGUUACUACGCAGGCAAAGAAAGAUGUGGCAUGGGGAAAACUGACCUAUGUAGUUUUAGACGCAGGCAAAGAAAGAUGUGGCAUGAGGCCAGAGGUGGCCGGAUCUGGCAAAGGUAAGCCCCUCCCCUCCUUCUUCGUGCACCAUCUCCUCCUCACCUCACCUUGUCUCGUGUUCCUUUUUGACAGGUCCUCCCCUCCUCACCAUCUCCGUUGCCGGGCCAAGGUUCCGCCGAUCCCCCAAGGUGCAGCUCCCGGCCAUGGGGAAGCGCCAGCAGCCGGAGGCGCCGAGCAGCCCAUGGCGCCGGUG
rnacentral:lncRNA from 1 species